AGGUUAGUAUAAAUUAGUUACGAAAGGAUAACUCGGAUGCUAUAAAGGACGUUAUUAAAUACGAAAAAUCAGUAUCGAUAACGGUAAUAACUGAGUCUCCCAGAAAACCUAAAGGCAAAUGCCUUAUAGUUGCCCUAAAAACUGAAACAUCUUAGUAUUAGGAGAAAAAAUCAAGCGAGACAUUGUAAGUAGUGGCGAGCGAACACAAGUCAUAUUUUAACCCAUAAAAUUAAUUCGUAGGAUAAGACUUAUCUUACAGUUAAGCCCAACCUGUGAUUGGGCCCCAAAGGGGGUAACAGGCCCGUAUAUAUAAAAUACUCCUCUCCAACCUAUGGGGUUAGUUGAGGCCCUUCGGGAUAAAUAGUAUAACGAUUAGAAGAAAGGUGUACCAUACAUCUAAUAUUAAUUAUUAUAGCAUACCUAUAGCGAAUAAGUACUGUAAAGGAAAGUUGAAAGAGAAAUAAGUGAAAUAGAACUUGAAAUUCGUUAACUAACAAGCGGACGAAUGUCGUCGUACCUUUUGUAUAAUGGGUUCGCAAGAAAAAUAUUUGGCAAACUUAAGUCAAUAAAUGCAGGUGUAGCGAAAGCAAGUAUAAAUUAUGCGUUUAGUUAAAUAUUACCCGAAACCAAGGGAUCUAAUUAUGAAUAGUUUGAAACCUUCUUAAUUGACGGGUGGAAGAACGAACCGGUGAUUGUGGCAAAAAUCUCGGAUAAUUUGUGAUUAGGGGUGAAAAGCCAAUCGUCCUUGGAAUAGCUGGUUUUCUGCGAAAACUAUAGAAGUAGUGUGCCAUAUUGUAUUCUAACAAGGUAAAGCACUGAAUAAACUUAGGGGGUUUAUCCUUACUAAGUAAAAUCAAACUAUGAAUGUGUUAGAAGAAAUUUAUGACAAACAGACAAUUCGCGAGAAGGUGGAUUGUCAAAAGGGACACAACCCAGAUCAGAAGUUAAGGUCACAAAUAAUAUCUAAGUGUAAAAGGGGCAGAAUCUGGAACCCGAAGUAGGGUCGACUUAGAUAAUGAGAAAGUAGGCUUGGAACCAGCCAUCUUAAAUAGAUUACGUAAUAGUUCACUCAAUAAGUUGGUUAGCCCCUAAAAUUUUGAUGGCUUAAGAAAAAGAAAGUCAAUAAACCCAAACUCUGAAAUUAUAAUUUGGUAGCAGAACGUUUUGUUAUAGAGUAAGCGAUAGCUAAAAUCAAAAGUGAUAAUGCGAACAUGAGUAAAAUACAGUGUGAUAAUCGCUGCUCAAUCGACCUAAGGUUUCCAAUUAAAGGAUUAACCGAAUUGGAUUAUUCAGUCCCUAAAAUUAAUCGAUGGGGGAACUCAUUUAAGCGCUGCGGGCGUCAGGAAAUAAUAUUAGAUCACAAUAAAGGAUGACUGUACUAUAAACUAACACAAGGGGGUCGAAUUGAUGGUUGAAUUUAUCUUAAGGAACUCGGCAAAUUGUCUCUGUAAGUUCGCAAGAAAGAGAGUCAAAACUUAACAACUCAUUAGGGGUUAAGUUAGAUCGCAGAAAACAGGGGGUGUUGACUGUUUACCAAAAACAUAGCUUCCAGCAAAUUUUAAUAAAAAUUAAGUAUUGGAAGUGAGGCCUGCCCAAUGAUUGUAUCCUAACUUAAAUAAUAAACUGGGAUAAAGUUAUUUGAUUAAGGACAAUUCAAUGGCCGCGGUAAAACUGACCGUGAUAAUGUAGCGCAAUCCAUAGCCAAUUAAUUGUUGGCAAGUAUGAAUGGCUUAACAAGCGCCCCGCUGUCUCAAGAUAAAAACCUGUGAAAUUGGAGCCGUAGUGAAGAUACUACGUACAAAUUGUUAGACGAGAAGACCCCAUUGAGCUUUACUGGAAAUUUAUAUAAUUCUUUUUUUUAUUAAUGUGUAGAUUAUGUGGGAACUAAACAAUAGUUUUGACUUUAAUGAAAAACCACUUUUUAAUAAUUUAAGGUUCAAAAAAAAAGUAAAAGUGUAAAGCAGACAGUUUAGUUGGGGCGACUGCCUUCUAAAUAGUAACGAAGGUGUACAAAGGUGAAUAAAAUAAUAGAUUUAGUUUAAAGCCUGACAGCGAGGAUAAUUUUCCGAGCUGACACGAAGAUUUAUUAGGGAUGAUUUUUCGUGGGUUAUAAUGACCCGUUAGUAUUAAAUGGGAAAGCUAACGAUCAACGGAUAAAAGUUACCAUGGGGAUAACAGCGUAAUAUCGUUCGAGAGUUCAUAUCGACAACGAUGUUUGCNACCUCGAUGUUGAAUUGUGGUAUCCUGGGGGUGCAGCCGCCCCCAAGGGUUGGACUGUUCGUCCAUUAAAACCGCACAUGAUUUGAGUUCAGAUCGGCGUGAGCCAGAUCGGUUUCUAUCUACAAUUUGUAAAGGAAACAUAGAUAUCUCUAUUUUCUAGUACGAAAGGACCGAAUAAUUAGUUGUCCUCUGGUGCCCAAUUUAAGGGGAAGUACGUUGGAUAGCCACGACAGUAAAACUAUAUUGGUAAAUUAUAUAAAACCUUUUAAGUUAAUCACUGAAAGCAUCUUAAGUGAGAAACUAAAUAUUAUUUUAUGUUUCCAUUAUAUUGGAUCGUUUAAGACUAAAACGUCGAUAGGACCUAAGUAAGUUUGGCUAAGGGUUACUAAACUCUUAUUACUAAUCUAA
rnacentral:rRNA from 1 species